rnacentral:rRNA from 1 species
AUUGAACGCUGGCGGAAUGCUUUACACAUGCAAGUCGAACGGCAGCACGGACUUCGGUCUGGUGGCGAGUGGCGAACGGGUGAGUAAUAUAUCGGAACGUGCCCAGUCGUGGGGGAUAACGUAGCGAAAGCUACGCUAAUACCGCAUACGAUCUACGGAUGAAAGCGGGGGAUCGCAAGACCUCGCGCGAUUGGAGCGGCCGAUAUCAGAUUAGGUAGUUGGUGAGGUAAAGGCUCACCAAGCCGACGAUCUGUAGCUGGUCUGAGAGGACGACCAGCCUCACUGGGACUGAGACACGGCCCAGACUCCUACGGGAGGCAGCAGUGGGGAAUUUUGGACAAUGGACGCAAGUCUGAUCCAGCCAUUCCGCGUGCAGGACGAAGGCCUUCGGGUUGUAAACUGCUUUUGUACGGAACGAAAAGGUCUCUAUUAAUACUAGGGGCUCAUGACGGUACUGUAAGAAUAAGCACCGGCUAACUACGUGCCAGCCGCCGCCGUAA